GAAUGUCUGAGGAAGCAGAAUCUAAAAUGCAACUUUGAAGCUGGAUCCCUUGCUGGCUGCAGGGAAAUGAGAACCCUGCCACAGAUGUGCUGUUCUUGACGUCCUUACUUCUGUCCUCAGAAUCAUAUCUUCGCAUCUGAAAGAAGGCAACAGCAUUGAGCAACAAUCUGGGACUCUAUUUGAUAUCUUCCCUUGAGAAGUGUUAAAUGUUGCCAUAAUCUUGACAGUUCAAAAGUUAGUCAUGUGGUUGAUAUUUUACCAAUGAGAUGAAUGUGUGGAGACGGGGUUUCACCGUGUUAGCCAGGAUGGUCUUGGUUUCCUGACCUCGUGAUCCACCCGCCUCGGCCUCCAAAAGUAUUGGGAUUAUAGGAGUGAGCCACCACACCUGGCCUCCAUUUCAUUUUUAUGGGCUGGCAUCUGUGGAGGUGGAACAAGAUGGUGAACUAGAAAGCUCCACCACUCACCCCUCCUCCUCUCCCCUGCAGGGAGUUUUUGACACCAAGUCAACAAGUAUCUACACAGAAAAAAACAGCUUCAUAAGAACAAGAAAUCAAGUGAACACUCAUAGUACGUGGUUUUAACUUCAUAUCACUUAAAGAGGAACUGAAGACAUAGAAGAAACAAUCCUGAAUCACUGCUGCUGGUCUCACUCAUCUCCAGCAGUAACAGUGUGGUCCUGAGAGCAUCUCUGUGGGCUGGGGGAGGAGAACACAGCAAUUGUGAGGCACUGAGGUCAGUGCUGUCCUGUUAGAGCAGGAAGGAAAACCAGACCAAAGUCAGUGGAUGCUCGCCCACAGAGGGAGCAUUUAAACCAGCCCUAGCCAGAGGGGAAUCGCCAGUCCCAGUGGUCUGAACUUGAAUGCCUGCAAACCUCCUCACCCACAGCCAAAGUACUCUGGGUCUCUAAGUAAACUUGAAAGGCAGUCUAGGAGAGUCCUAGGGCUGAACGAGGCCCAGAGACAGUGGACUGGGGAAGCAUGCAACAUACUGAGACACAAGCUGGGGAAGCCAAGCGAAUGCUGGCAUCACCCCUCCUCUAACCCCAGGCUGCACAUCUAGUGGCUUCAAAAGAGACCCCCUUCCUUCUGCUUGAGAAGAGAAGAGGGAAGAGUGGGAGGACUUUGUCUUGUGGUUUGGAUGCCAGCUCAGCUGCAAUACAAUAGAAUCCCAGGUAGACUUCUAAGAUUUUUGACUGUAGUCCCUCACUUCAGGAUGGUACUUCUGGACCCACUCGAGCCUGUAAGACCUCAAUGCCUUGAAGGGAAGGAUACAGGCCUGGAUGACUUUGCCACCUGCUAAUUGUAGAGUCUCAGGGCCUUGAUCAGAAAGGUCUGACCAAGCAAGGUCCUAGUAGUGGUGGCCACAGGGAUGACUGUGUCACUCCAUGCCCAGCUUUAGGUGGCUCAGAACAGAGAGAGGGAGACUCUGUAAGUUUGGGAGAAAGUAAAAGAAGAGAACACGAUUCUCUGCCUGGUAAUCCAGAGAAUUCUCCUGGAUUUUUUCCAAGACCAUCAAGGUGGUACCUCUACAAGUCUGCAAGAACCACAGUGUUACUGUGCUUGGGGUGUCCCUAAAGGCGAAACAGCUUAGAUCAGGACACCUAAGUCCUUUCAAAUGUCUAGAAAGCCUUUCCAAGAAGGACGGCUACAAAUAAGCCCAGACAGUGAAGACUACACUAAAUGCCUAACUCCUCAAUGCCAGACUAAGAAUAAAAGAGAGAAGAUCAAAAUACAUACAAUCAGAAAUGAAAAAGGGGAGGCAUUACAACUGAUACUACAGAAACUCAAAGGAUCAUUAGUGGCUACUGUGAGCAACUAUAUGCCAAUAAAUUGGAAAAUCUAGAAGAAAUGGACAAAUUCCUAGAUACAUACAACAUACCAAUAUUGAACCAGGAAGAAAUCCAAAACCUGAACAGACCAAUAACAAGUAACAAGAUUGAAGCUGUAAUAAAAAUUCUCCCAGUAAAGAAAAGCCUGGGACCUGACGGCUUCACUGCUGAAUUCUACCAAGCAUUUAAAGAAGAACUAAUGCCAAUCUUACACAAUAUAUUCCAAAAAAUAGAGAAGGGAAUAUGUCCAAACUUAUUUUACAAGUCCAGUAUUACCCUGAUACCCAAACCAGACAAAAACAGAAAAAAAAAAACCCUACAGGCCAAUAUCUCUGAUGAAUAUUGAUGCAAAAAUUUUCAACAAAAUAAUAGCAAACAGAAUUGAACAAUACAUCAGAAAGAUCAUUCAUUAUGAUCAAAUAGGAUGUAUCUGUGGGAUGCAAAAAUGGGGCAAUAUACUCAAAUCAAUCAAUGAGAUACAUCACAGCAACAAAAUGAAGGAUAAAAACUAUAUAAUCAUUUCAGUUGAUGCUGAAAAAGCAUUUUUAAAAAUUCAACAUCCCUUCAUGAUAGUAACUCUAAAAAAACAGGGGAUAGAAGGAACAUACCUCAACAUAAUAAAAACCAUAUAUGAUACACCCACAGCUAGUAUCAUACUGAAUGGAGAAAAACUGAAAACCUUUCCUCUAACAUUGAGAACACAGCAAGGAUGCCCACUAUGUUAGUCAGCAUAGUACCAGAAGUCCUAGCUAGAG